rnacentral:tRNA from 1 species
GCGCCUGUGGCUCAAUUGGAUAGAGCAUCUGACUUCGGAUCAGAGGGUUGGGGGUUCGAGUCCCUCCGGGCGUGCUA